UGCAGUCGAGCGGCAGCGACAACAUUGAUUCUUCGGAGGAUUUGUUGGGCGGCGAGCGGCGGACGGGUGAGUAAUGGCUGGGAACCUGCCCUGACGUGGGGGAUAACAGUUGGAAACGACUGCUAAUACCGCAUGAUGUCUUUGGACCAAAGAGGAGGACCUUCGGGCUUCUCGCGUCGGGAUGGGCCCAGUUGGGAUUAGCUAGUUGGUGAGGUAAUGGCUCACCAAGGCGACGAUCCCUAGCUGGUUUGAGAGGAUGAUCAGCCACACUGGAACUGAGACACGGUCCAGACUCCUACGGGAGGCAGCAGUGGGGAAUAUUGCACAAUGGGCGCAAGCCUGAUGCAGCCAUGCCGCGUGUGUGAAGAAGGCCUUCGGGUUGUAAAGCACUUUCAGCAGUGAGGAAGGCGUAGUGGUUAAUACCCGCUGCGCUUGACGUUAGCUGCAGAAGAAGCACCGGCUAACUCCGUGCCAGCAGCCGCGGUAAUACGGAGGGUGCGAGCGUUAAUCGGAAUUACUGGGCGUAAAGCGCAUGCAGGCGGUUUGUUAAGCAAGAUGUGAAAGCCCCGGGCUCAACCUGGGAACCGCAUUUUGAACUGGCAGGCUAGAGUCUUGUAGAGGU
rnacentral:rRNA from 1 species